UACAGGGGGGGCAAGCGUUGUUCGGAAUUACUGGGCGUAAAGGGCUCGUAGGUGGCCAACUAAGUCAGACGUGAAAUCCCUCGGCUUAACCGGGGAACUGCGUCUGAUACUGGAUGGCUUGAGUUUGGGAGAGGGACGCGGAAUUCCAGGUGUAGCGGUGAAAUGCGUAGAUAUCGGAAGGAACAUCAGUGGCGAAAGCGGCUUCCUGGACCAGCACCGACGUUCAGGCACGAAAGCGUGGGGAGCAAACAGG
rnacentral:rRNA from 1 species